AGGUGAAAAAUAGUUAUGGGAAAAGAACAAGAAUUCAAAAGGAGAAUGAUCUGGUUCUGGAUAAAGUUUUGAAUGCGAGAAUUUGUUUAGACAUAGAUAUCCAACAUGAACAUAUUCAAUAAAACCGUGUCCCCAAAAGGUAUUUUGGAAGCAAGGAAGAUGGAAAAGAAGAAACAGAUAAAGUAUUAGAUUCCAUUUAUGCCUUAUUCGCUACUAUCAAAUUGGAGAAGAUAUGGAGGCAAC
rnacentral:lncRNA from 1 species